AUGGCCUAUCUAGUUCUUAUUAAGCUACGCAUUUGUACUGUUUUUGAUGGUGCACUUCCUCGUAGCGUUUCGGGGGAGGACGACAUGAACCAGGGACUCGACUUACUUGAACAAGGAUAUCAGAGCAAUGAAAGGUUUCUUAGGGAAGAAACUAUGGCUAUGUGGCAAAACCUGGAGGACAUUUGUGCCCAGGUCAGGUUAAUUAUUGAACCUGACCGUGUGAAAUGCUCGUUGACAAAACCUGGUGAGUUUGUUGUUGAAUCUUGCUACUAUCAGUAUCCUGUGGCUAGAAGAGUAGCUUUCCAUGCAUAA
rnacentral:rRNA from 1 species